GCAUCCAUGGUUGAUGGUAAAAGCACCAAACUCAUAAUUGGCGAAUUCGUUGGUUCAAUUCCCUACUGGAUGCA
rnacentral:tRNA from 1 species